GGGGGAAGGUAGGGGGUGGUGGUGCAAAAGGGAGCGGGGGUCAACUGUCCUCCCUGUACCAAAAGAGGCCAACGUCAUGACAGUAGCGUUCCACAUAAUUUUUAGAAAGUGAAACUUUAGAAAAUACAAAACAAAAUAAAGAAUAAACAAACCGCGACCAACAAUACUAUACAUAAACAAUAUCCCAUAACCCCCAAGUGAAAAACAAGCUACUUAAGUAUUAUCCCAAAUUAGAGACAACGAUUACCAGCUGCCUCUAAUUGGGAAUCAUACCAAUCACCCAAACUUAGAAAAACUAAAUUAGAACCCCACAUAGAAUAUAACAACUAGAAAAAAAACCUGUCACGCCCUGACCUACUCUACCAUAGAAAAUAAAAGCUUUCUAUGGUCAGGACAUGACACAGAGUCAGAGUGCUGGUAAGUCUCAUGUCUACUGAUUUGAGCUAAAAUAUGGUGUAGAUUUUAGUUUCUCAGAAAUCUACAGGAAGUGAUGCAACACUUGAGGUUUUGGUCUCCUCCUUUAUCACACAUUUAUUUUCUGUCUGUCUGUCUGCCUUCUAGCCUGUCUGUUUGUCUUCCUGCCUUACUGAGAAACCAACUGAUCGAAUGAACGUUGUAAUUAAUGCUAUAAUUCAUGUUAUCUAUAAUAUAUACAGUACUCUGUAAAGUAUCUCCUCCUGUCUGUGGUCAGGUCUGAUGGUAUCUAUGAUAUAUACAGUUCUCUGUAAAGUAUCUCCUCCUGUCUGUGGUCAGGUCUGAUGGUAUCUAUGAUAUAUACAGUUCUCUGUAAAGUAUCUCCUCCUGUCUGUGGUCAGGUCUG
rnacentral:lncRNA from 1 species